CAACUUUCAACAACGGGUCUCUUGGCUCUCGCAUCGAUGAAGAACGCAGCGAAAUGCGAUAAGUAAUGUGAAUUGCAGAUUUUCAGUGAAUCAUCGAAUCUUUGAACGCACCUUGCGCCUCUCUUAACAGGGAGGCAUGCCUGUCUGAGUCUCAUUU
rnacentral:rRNA from 1 species